GACGGUGACUGAAGGCGAUUAGAUCUGCCAAUCUGGUCAGGACCGAAAGGAAGCAGCCACAGUAGAUUCUGUUGGGUUUCAGUCACUUUUGCU
rnacentral:SRP_RNA from 1 species